GCGAACGCUGGCGGCGUGCUUAACACAUGCAAGUCGUGCGGGAAAGGGAUCUUCGGGUCCUGAGUAGAGCGGCGCACGGGUGCGUAAGAACGCGGGUGACCUAUCCUGGAGGCGGGGGAUAACCCUUCGAAAGAGGGGCUAAUACCGGAUGGGCCCCCGAGCAGAGAUGCUUGGGGGCAAAGGGUGCCUACUUAGUAGUGGCAUUCCCUCGUGGCGGGGCCCGCGGCCUAUCAGCUUGUUGGUACGGUAAUGGCGUAUCCAAGGCGAAGACCGGGUAGGCUAGGUCUGAGAGGAUGGCCAGCCACACGGGGACCUGAGACACGGCCCCGACUCCUACGGGACUGGCAGGCAGUGGGGAAUAUUGGGGCAAUGGGCGCAAGCCUGACCCAGCGACGCCGCGUGGGUGAUGAAGGCCUUCGGGUCGUAAAGCCCUGUCGGGUGGAAAGAACGAGGGGGGUUGCAAAUAGCGCCUCUCUGUGACGGUACCACCGAAGGAAGCCACCGGCCAAUUCCGUGCCAGCAGCCGCGGUAAGACGGAAGGUGCAAGCGUUGCUCGGAAUCACUGGGCGUAAAGGGUGCGCAGGCGGGCCGCGCAAGUCUGGCGUGAAAGCCCCCGGGCUCAGCCCGGGAAGGGCGCUCGAAACGGCGCGGCUGGAGUGGCCGGAGGGUGGAGACUGGAAUUCUCGGAUUGUAGCAGAUGAAAUGCGGUAGAUAGCGGAGAGGAACACCAGUGGCGAAGGCGAGUCCCUGGACAACUCCUGACACUAAGGCACAGAAAGCUAGGGUGAGCAAACAGGAAUUAGAUACCCUGGUAGUCCUAGCCGUAAACGAUGCGUAUGUUGCUGUAAAAGGAAUCGACCCCCCUUUGUGGCGUAGCCAACGCGUUAAAUACGCCGCCUGGGAAGUACGAGUCGCAAGAUUAAAACUCAAAGAAAUUGACGGGGGGCCUGCACAAGCUGGUGGAGUAUGAGCUGGCUCAAUUCCGAUGCAACGCGAAGAACCUUACCUGGCCUUGACAUGUAGGUAGCUAUAGAAGGAUGAAAGUCUGACGAUUCCGCAAGGAAAGCUUACACAGGUGCUGCAUGGCUGUCGUCAGCUCGUGUCGUGAGAUGUUGGGUUAAGUCCCGCAACGAGCGCAACCCCUGCGUCCUGUUGCCACCCGAUCGAGUGAUCGGAGCACUCUGGACGGACUGCCUCGCUUCAAACGAGGAGGAAGGUGGGGAUGACGUCAAGUCAGUAUGGCCCUUACGGCCAGGGCUGCACACGUACUACAAUGCCCGGCACAAAGGGGAAGCAAGACCGUCAUGGUGGAGCAAAUCCCCAAAAACCGGGCCCAGUUCAGAUUGUCGUCUGCAACUCGACGGCAUGAAGCUGGAAUCGCUAGUAAUGGCGCAUCAGCUACGGCGCCGUGAAUACGUUCCCAGGCCUUGUACACACCGCCCGUCACAUCAUGAAAGCCGUUUGUACCCGAAGUCGCCCCUCAAAAGGAUGCCGAAGGUAUGGAUGGUGAUUGGGAUG
rnacentral:rRNA from 1 species